rnacentral:rRNA from 1 species
GAGUUUGAUCAUGGCUCAGAUUGAACGCUGGCGGCGUGCCUUACACAUGCAAGUCGAACGGUAACAGGUCUUCGGAUGCCGACGAGUGGCGAACGGGUGAGUAAUACAUCGGAACGUGCCCGAUCGUGGGGGAUAACGGAGCGAGAGCUUUGCUAAUACCGCAUACGAUCUACGGAUGAAAGCAGGGGACCGCAAGGCCUUGCGCGGACGGAGCGGCCGAUGGCAGAUUAGGUAGUUGGUGGGAUAAAAGCUUACCAAGCCGACGAUCUGUAGCUGGUCUGAGAGGACGACCAGCCACACUGGGACUGAGACACGGCCCAGACCCCUACGGGAGGCAGCAGUGGGGAAUUUUGGACAAUGGGCGAAAGCCUGAUCCAGCCAUGCCGCGUGCAGGAUGAAGGCCUCGGUGUAACUGCUUUCGUUGCGGUACGAAAGACGUACCUUCCU